rnacentral:tRNA from 1 species
GCUUUGGUGAUUCAGCAGUAGAAUUCUCACCUUCCAUACGGGAGACCUGGGUUUGAUUCCCAGCUAAUGAA